UUUUUAAGUAACAUAAAUUAAUGUAUUCAAUUUCGACUUGAUUUAUAGAAAAAUAU
rnacentral:tRNA from 1 species